rnacentral:rRNA from 1 species
GAUGAACGCUGGCGGCGUGCCUAAUACAUGCAAGUCGAGCGAACAGAUAAGGAGCUUGCUCCUUUGACGUUAGCGGCGGACGGGUGAGUAACACGUGGGUAACCUACCUAUAAGACUGGAAUAACUCCGGGAAACCGGGGCUAAUGCCGGAUAACAUUUAGAACCGCAUGGUUCUAAAGUGAAAGAUGGUUUUGCUAUCACUUAUAGAUGGACCCGCGCCGUAUUAGCUAGUUGGUAAGGUAACGGCUUACCAAGGCAACGAUACGUAGCCGACCUGAGAGGGUGAUCGGCCACACUGGAACUGAGACACGGUCCAGACUCCUACGGGAGGCAGCAGUAGGGAAGCUUCCGCAAAGGGCGAAAGCCUGACGGAGCAACUCCGCGUGAGUGAUGAAGGUCUUCGGAUCGUAAAACUCUGUUAUUAGGGAAGAACAAAUGUGUAAGUAACUGUGCACGUCUUGACGGUACCUAAUCAGAAAGCCAGGGCUAACUACGUG